UGGGGGAUAUUGCACAAUGGGCGAAAGCCUGAUGCAGCGACGCCGCGUGGGGGAUGAAGGCUUUCGGGUUGUAAACCUCUUUCGCUAUCGAACAAGGCCCGCUUAGGGUGGGUUGAGGGUAGGUGGAGAAGAAGCGCCGGCUAACUACGUGCCAGCAGCCGCGGUAAUACGUAGGGCGCGAGCGUUGUCCGGAAUUAUUGGGCGUAAAGGGCUUGUAGGCGGCUUGUUGCGCCUGCUGUGAAAACGCGGGGCUUAACUUCGCGCGUGCAGUGGGUACGGGCAGGCUUGAGUGUGGUAGGGGUGACUGGAAUUCCAGGUGUAGCGGUGGAAUGCGCAGAUAUCAGGAGGAAUACCGGUGGCGAAGGCGGGUCUCUGGGCUGUUACUGACACUGAGGAGCGAAAGCAUGGGGAGCAAACAGG
rnacentral:rRNA from 1 species